CUUUGUCUUUUUCUUUUAUUUUCUUUUGAGCGAUUGUGCGAACAUAGCAUAGCACGCACUAUGCCUUCUGUGUUGUAGCUGCCUGGCCAGGGCGACUGGCGGAUAAGGUCUUGUGCGUGGCCUCGAGGCUUAAAAGUAGCAGUGGGGCUUUGUGAAGGACAAAAUGGCGAUGGCGGGCCGUGUAGGUCCCCCUUCCUAUGAUGAGGACCUUUUCACAGACCUGUACUGAGCUCCGUGAGGAUAAAUAACUCUGAGGAGAUGGGCCCUGCAAGCCUCUUGCUUAGCCGUCUGUUCAGAAAAUAGCGUUUUCGAAAUGCCCUGAGUUGACCUAAUGUCUUAUUGGGCUCCUGUCUGCAGGAUUUACGCGCACGUUGGAACCGAAGAGAGCUCUGUUGUUGCAAUGUUCAGCCCACAAGAGCUUACUGGUGAAGGAAUGGGACAAGACCCAUCUUUAUGCAAAGCCAGCGUUACAGUAAUGUUCCAGGUAGGUGUACAUGGUUUAUGCUCUUACAGAGGAGACCUUGUAGAUAACCACUCCAUGAUGAACACAAAAUGACAAGCAUAUGGCUGAACUUUCAAGUGAUGUCAUCUUACUACUGAGAAGUGAGAGAGAGGUCUUAAGGGGUCUUUGAAUGACUAUUUUUAGGUACAUAAAAUGCUUUCCUCUGUUGUCUACAGCAUCUCAUAAUCUAUCCUGGGGAAUUCAGCUGCCUCCCAGGGUGAAUACAGGUAAUUAUCCAAAUUGGUGUAUGUCAUCUUUGUAAAUGUUCAAGAAAACAAGUGGCCGGCGGAACAAUGUUUUUUGGCGCCUUCCAUCUUGUUCCUCUUGAAAUGAUUUUCUGGGGAGGGAGAUCGCAACCCGGUACUACAGUUCUUGUAAGGGUGUGCUGUUACCCUCAUCCAUAUAUCGAUCACGUUACUGUCAGAUGAUUUGAAUUGAUAAGCUGAUGUUCUGUGAGGUACAAAAGUUAAUAGCAUGUUAGAGUUCUGAUGGCAGUUGUUGUUUAUGAAUAAGCUUCAUUCCAUCCUAAUACCUUAAAAUAACUAAUUUGCUUUCCUUUCCAGGUAUUCCUGAUGACAGUCUGCCUCUAUCUUACAGAGCAGCUUGUUGCUAUAUACCAUUGAAAAGCCUUCAGAGCUGAGAGGUACUACUAACCAAUAACCUGCUUGGCUCAAAGGGCCAGCACCUUCUCUCUAAAGCCCAAGAGGAGUUUGAGGAAAACUAGGUGUCUGUGUUCACUCCAGGCUGAAGUUACAGGUCUGAGCAAAUAAGGUGUAUAAAAAAUGGAAUCUGUCUUGGAGGACAUCAGAAGGUGAAUUUUCCAAGUUCUUGGACAACCUAGCUGUUGAAAAGCUUUCUGGGUUUGGGGGGUAUUUCAGAUGUACCUUAAAGUGUUAGCAGACACAGAUUAAGACACUGGGAGCCAAUGAAACAGCAGUUGAGGGUUUGCUGUGUAUCACAUUUCUGUAUUUUAUCACCCCCUUCCUGCAACAUUAUUUAUCUGGAAUCUACCUGCCCUUUUGUUUUUUAGAUACAAGGGCUUGGUUUUGUUACCCAGGCUGGUUUCAAGGCCAUAGCUUUAAGAGAUCCUCUCACCACAGAUUUCCAAAGUGCUGGGAUUGCAGGUGUGAUUCAUGGCACCCAGACUUUGCUGCCUUUCUUACAUGAUCCAGGCCCAGAACCCAAACUCAGGCACUGUAUAGAUGACCACUUUCGUAAACUACUGACCUAGCUUGUUGCCAAUUGUUGAUUGAACUUCCCAUAACUCCACUUCGUGUCUGUUCCUCUGUAUACAGCCACCUUCUGUUCCCGUCAUGAGCCUUUAGGUCUCCAUUUGCAUAUUGCAAAUACUAUGUUCCAUGUAGGUAGCUCAUUCAGGGCCUUGCUCUUCACUUCAAAAAAGGUUCCCUUGAGGACUGGCUGUCAAUUUGUGUUGCUGUGUUGGUUGUUGAUGAAAAUAAUAAAAU
rnacentral:lncRNA from 1 species